rnacentral:rRNA from 1 species
AACGAACGCUGGCGGCAUGCCUAACACAUGCAAGUCGAACGAAGCCUUCGGGCUUAGUGGCGCACGGGUGCGUAACGCGUGGGAAUCUGCCCCUUGCUUCGGAAUAACAGUUAGAAAUGACUGCUAAUACCGGAUGAAGUCUUCGGACCAAAGAUUUAUCGGCAAGGGAUGAGCCCGCGUAGGAUUAGGUAGUUGGUGGGGUAAAGGCCUACCAAGCCGACGAUCCUUAGCUGGUCUGAGAGGAUGAUCAGCCACACUGGGACUGAGACACGGCCCAGACCCCUAGGGAGGGCAGAAGGGGGGAAGAUGGAAAAAUGGAGGAAAGCUGAAUCCAGCAAGGCCGGGGAAGUGAGAAAGGCGUUAGGGUUGAAAAGCUUUUUUACCAGGGAUGAAAAGGAAGGACCCUGGAAAAAAACCCCGGGUAAAUCCGUG